UUGGACCGCAGGCUCCGGCGCUGGCAAGUCAUGUAGCAAAAGCAGCAACCACCCCUCAGGAAUUAGAAGAAAAAAAAAAAAGGGAAAAGAAAAAAAGAAAGAAAGAGAAAAAAGAAACAACCACCGCCCCGGGGGUGAAGCUCCCUCGCUCCCAACUCUACUUCUUGGUCUCCCCCCCACCCCCCGCUCCCCCCCCUUCUGCUGCUUCCUCCUCCUCCUCCUCCUCUCGCAGCAGCAGUCACAGCAGCAGCAGCAGCAGCCCAAAGGGGGGGAGAGCCGGGCGGCGGGCGGGCGCGUCCCGGAGCGGCCGCGGCGAGGCUGGGGAGACAGCGAUCUAGGCGGCUAUAGCCACAAUUAAUUUUCCGAGCUACAGGCGCACACUAGGGCUGUAAAAAAAUUUUUGGUUUAACCUUUCCUACCGUUGGGCCAAUCAGAGCGGGCGGCGUGCGGGAGCGUCUCUCCCGCCGUCGACCAAUCGGCGGGGCCCGGGCCCCCCCCCCCCCCGCCCCCCCCCCGGCUCCCGCCCCCUCGGGCGCUCGCCUCCCCCUCUCCGCGGGCCUUGGCCUCGCGGCCGCGCGGACCCGCGUAGGGAUACGCCGGGAGCACGCUGCGCCGCGGCCCUUGCCGGCGCGCCCUCCACCGCGCGGGGCUGCGGCCCCGCAAUCCCCCUUCUAGGGGCACGUCUCUCCCGUUUCCGGCUUCCUUCUCCCUGUAUUGGGUCAUUUUCGUUUCAGCGUCAAUAUUUGUCCUUAUUGAUUAAAGUUGGUAUCCAAUUUUAUUUUUCCCAGCGGGGGCGGCGGCGGUGGCGAGCAGAGUGGGAGUGCAGGGACAGGAUGCGAGGAGAGGGCAGGAAAUGGAGGAGGCGAGGCACUACUUUCCCGAGGCGGCCCUGCAGGCCCGGCUCCGGCAUUGCUGAGCCCGUAGGAAAAUUGUGCCCCGUGAGGGAUAAUCUUUGCAAAAAUAAAUUGUACUCAAAACAUGUUUGUUAAUGAUGUUGGGAUCCAAGCCUUUGGAGUUGGAGUAAAUGUAAGACAUCAUCUGAUUCAGCAGCUUUGGAGAAAGAUCACCAUCUGAAUCAGUGGCUUCUGGGAGCUGUGCUGAGUAGGAGUCUGGAUUAUUCUGAGUAUCCUGGCUUUGUUUCCUGCCCAUCUCCCUUGCUUCUUGGCUUCAUACAUUAAUGCACUUGGGAACUCCAUUCUUGCUGGCUACCCUGUGGACUGGUUUUCCAAAUGGGCUGCCUCUUCAGUAGCACACUGUAGACUGGGCUAAGGACCCUUCUCUCAGCUGAGAGCUGUUAAGUCUUUCUCUUGAAUGUAUUUUCUCUCAAGCAGCUCUCUGCUGCCCUCCACUGGCACUUAGCAGCUAGAGCUAGCUAGUCUUCUGCAUCUGCAAUAACCCACUGCAUCCUUGGUUCCAAAAGAGAUAGGGGAGCAUUAUUAGCUACACUAUGUAUGCUUUUUAUGGCAUAGAAAAACAGGACCCAGGCCCCUUUGUGUCCACUUAUACCCCACAUUCUCACUUACUUCUUACGAGUUUGCUGAUAGGCCAUGGAGUGUAUCUGACAUUUCUAUUUUCAAGUAUUUCUGCUACAAUAUUUAGAAGGACUUACUUGAAAAUAUAAACUUUCUAUUUAAUUAUCAAAUUGAAAUACACAUCAGUUGACAUGAUGCUAGGCCACAAAUUUCUGAACUUGCUGUACUUAGUCUUAAAGAAUAUUAAACAUUUUAUUUUUAAUGUUAUAAAGAUAUAGUGAAUUAUAUGAAGUGCCUAAAAAAAGAAAAACAGUCUGCCUUUAUUGAGCUUUCUUCCUAGUUGAGGAAGAUAAUCAUGAAAAAAAUUAAUAAGCAAAAUGCCCUUUAAGGGAAUAUGGGAUUACCAUAUCUAUUUCCUACCAUAAAUACACCAUAGUGAUUCCAUGCUUCUAAGAAUGUUAGUAUUAAGGUUAAGAGAGGCAUAACCAGAGCUUAGAUAGGGACUAUGUGUGCUGCAAAUAUUCAAUGUGUUCUUCAUCCCUUCAUUCACGCGCUCAUAAAUUUAUUGUGAAUGUAACAUGGGCCUAUAAAAGCAAUUAGUGCAGAUGAGUGUAUGAAUCCCUCAGCUGCAAAGAUGGUUCAUCUUCUGACUCUAUCAUGACCUUCUCUCCUGUUAGAGUGCCUGGUGAUUGCCACCUUGCCACCCCCUGUAAUAGCUGUCACAGAAGCCCCUGUUAUAGCUGCCCUUGAUGGUGGGCUCUGUUACUGUCUUUCCUUUUCUCUUUGUUUUUAUUAUGUUGUCUUUCAAUGUCUUUUUCUUUUCCAACAGAUGGGUUCUAAUAGAUAUUACUGGCCAAAUGGAGUAGAUUUUUCCUUCCUAUGUGGCAGAGCUAACAAUGAUAACUAAGCGGUUAUAAUCACGUGGUCUUCUCUUUUCUACCAGGUCUGUUGGAAAUGAGUGUUUGUCUCAGGUUAAAAAAAAUUGGUUUGGAGAAAACAAAACUGAAACAAAUUAACAAAGUUGUGUUGGUAUUAAUUACAGAUACAAGUUUUUAAAAAAUGCUAUAUUGGUUGAAGAGUUCUUCUGAGUGUGAAAUCAGGGAUCUAGCACCACAACAACCUGUCCUCCCUCAGGAGUAAUGCACAGCCCUCACCCGAAUUCUGAGCCAUCCACCAGAGAUUAUAAACUGUCAGAAAAGCAGUUUGUAACUCUCACAAUUGAGUAUGAAGCUCAGAUGUUUUCAUAUCCUUAUUUCUGAGUGAGCUUAUCCAUCCAGCUUCAGAGUCUCAGCCAGAGCUGGCCCUGACACACAUUUUUUUUGGCCAGGGAUGUCAAUAGUUUCUUUAUAUGUAAUUCAUGGCUAACUUGAAAGGUCAUGUCACGUGUUUAUAUAGCUGUGUGGGUACUUUCCUUGCACCGACUCUAUGAAGCAACACAUUUGUAUAUGUCCUCCUUCUCCUUUGCACCAGAAACCAAUUCUUGUUGGUCAAGAUAAUUGGUUUGUUAUUUUUGAGAGAAGAGCUCUGAAAUUAGAGGGUGUUCUUAAAUUUUAGAGGGCUUGGAAGUUUGGUGUUUACAUAAUCAAAGUUUUACAUUGUAGAUUUGAAGUGAUCAAAUGGAAGAGGUGAGGAGUUAGUACGUUUAAUUGAAUUGAAUAUAUUGUCCAUUUUAAGGUGCACUACUAUUUUAUAAACCAUAAGGAAAGAAAAAAAGUGCUAGGAAUUUAUCUGUGACAGGUUAUAAAUUGUGAGAUGCAUCCACACUUCAGAGAUGCUAAAAUAUGUGCAUCUCACAAUCAUAUGAAAUGUGAUAUGUCUUUAUCUGUUUCGAGAUGGAUUUAGGUAAAAUGAUAACAUAGCUUCUUGGCAAGAUAUAUCUAGUAAUAAAUGCAUGCUGACCACAGCA
rnacentral:lncRNA from 1 species